rnacentral:misc_RNA from 1 species
AUACGAUGAUUAUUGCGAUGAGUGUUCACACAGAUUGAUGGUUUAUAACGUUAUAGAGAUAGAUGUGGGGCUAUAGCUCAGCUGGGAGAGCGCUUGCAUGGCAUGCAAGAGGUCGACGGUUCGAUCCCGUCUAGCUCCACCAUUACUAAAGGUUUUCAUUUAGAAUCCUUAAUAAUGGUUUCGAAAGAAAUCUGCUCUUUAACAAUUUGGAAAGCUGACAAAACAACAAAUUAUUGUUGUUUGUAAAGUUCUCAAUGUUUGUCUUUAAGGCAAACACCAACAAACACAUUCAAGUGUUCUUGGGAAUGUCACUUUUAGUGACUAUUCGAAAUUGAGUCCGGCAAAAUCAACGCUAUCUCGCUCAUUCAAAUAAUGAGAUAGCAACUUUGGUUGUUUAACAAAGACCCUUUGGGGUUGUAU